AGAUUGAACGCUGGCGGCGUGCCUAACACAUGCAAGUCGAGCGGUAACAGGUGUAGCAAUACAUCACCGGCGGACGGGUGCGUAACGCGUGGGAAUGUACCUAUUGGUUCGGAACAACUGAGGGAAACUUCAGCUAAUACCGGAUGAGCCCGAAAGGGGAAAGAUUUCUCGCCAAUAGAUCAGCCCGCGUCCGAUUAGCUAGUUGGUGGGGUUAAAGCCUACCAAGGCGACGAUCGGUAGCUGUUCUGAGAGGAAGAUCAGCCACACUGGGACUGAGACACGGCCCAGACUCCUACGGGAGGCAGCAGUUGGGAAUCUUGGACAAUGGGGGAAACCCUGAUCCAGCCAUGCCGCGUGAGUGAUGAAGGCCUUCGGGUUGUAAAACGUCUUUCGACGGGGACGAUAAUGACGGUACCCGUAGAAGAAGCUCCGGCUAACGUUCGCGCCAGCAGCCGC
rnacentral:rRNA from 1 species